AAAGUCGUAACAAGGUCUCCGUUGGUGAACCAGCGGAGGGAUCAUUACCGAGUUUACCAACUCCCAAACCCCGUGUGAACUUACCUCACCCCGUUGCUUCGGCGGUGCCGCCCCGGGCGCGGGCCUCUCGCAGGCCGCCAGCCCCGGAACCAGGCGCCCGCCGGAGGACCACAAACUCCAAUGUAUUCUAGCGGCGUGAUCUGAGUCCGCGCUCUCUGAGCGUCAGAAAAAUGAAUCAAAACUUUCAACAACGGAUCUCUUGGCUCUG
rnacentral:misc_RNA from 1 species